rnacentral:misc_RNA from 1 species
AUGGAUCAUUACCAAUUUUUAUUAUUAGUUUGUGUAUCAUAUUCACUUCGGUGGGUUGAUCACAACACUACUAAUGUAAACGUUGAACUAGAUCAUUGGUGUGGAUUGUUUGGGAAUGGAAGAAGCGACAAGCCUCUUCCGGACAGGCAAACCCCACAUCGAUAACCUUUUUUCAUACUAAUUACAACUUAGUACAUACUACAAACAAACAAACAAACAAAAGUUUCUAAUAGGACUUAUAUACGAGUUGAGUGGGUAAAAGCCUCAGCUCUUAAAACUAAUAACUAUUACAACUUUCAGCAAUGGAUCUCUAGGCUCUC